CACAUAGGCAGCAGGGGACGGGAUGCAGCCUUGGGGCAGUGAUGGCCUCCGACACAUCCCACACGUGGUGGCCUCGAGCAUGAACACAUCAGAGCAGAGCAUUGGUCAUGCUUUUGAGGCUGAACACACUGAGCAGGCAACCAUUCAUACACUGCUGGGUUGCUCUAUCCAUUCAGUGACUCAGUGAGUGUCAACUGUAUUCAGCUUGAUAAGCUAGGUGGUUACUGGAGACUGCAAGUCAGGGCAACUGGAGACACGAAAGCUUGCCACUGAGGAGCAUGGAAAACUCUAAACUUCAGAAGGGCACUAAAGGAGGAUCAUUUCAGCACAGAAGUAAAACAGGAGGAGGAGACCCAAGUCUCAGUGAGCCUAUGUGAGUCUAUGCCUGGACAGAAAGAGGAGCUGAGGUGAAAAGAGAUCAGAGGUUGAAAGCAGCCCCCACCUGCAACACACACAGACACACACACACACCUGCAUUCUGAAUGCUUCACUCAGAAACAUCUACCCAUUACAGAAAAAUAUAUUUGCAUUGUUGAAUAAGGGGAAAAAGGUCACAGCUUGCUGGUCUUUCCAAGCCUUCUGCUCCCUGCAAAAUGAUAGCCACCCAUAAGGCAUGCGGUACAAACACUCUCCCCGCCAGGCAGCCCGCCAC